GAUGAAGAACGCAGCGAAAUGCGAUACGUAAUGUGAAUUGCAAAUUCAGUGAAUCAUCGAGUCUUUGAACGCACAUUGCGCCCCCUGGUAUUCCGGGGGGCAUGCCUGUCCGAGCGUCAUUGCUGCCCUCAAGCACGGCUUGUGUGUUGGGCCCCGUCCUCCGAUCCCGGGGGACGGGCCCGAAAGGCAGCGGCGGCACCGCGUCCGGUCCUCGAGCGUAUGGGGCUUUGUCACCCGCUCUGUAGGCCCGGCCGGCGCUUGCCGAUCAACCCAAAUUUUUAUCCAGGUUGACCUCGGAUCAGGUAGGGAUACCCGCUGAACUUAAGUAUAUCAAUAAGCGGAGGA
rnacentral:misc_RNA from 1 species